rnacentral:tRNA from 1 species
GGUUCAUUAGCUCAGUCGGUAGAGCAACAGACUGAAAAUCUGUGUGUCCGUGGUUCAAUUCCGCGAUGAACCACCA